UACGUAGGGUGCAAGCGUUAAUCGGAAUUACUGGGCGUAAAGCGUGCGCAGGCGGCUUUGCAAGACAGAUGUGAAAAUCCCCGGGCUUAACCUGGGAACUGCAUUUGUGACUGCAUGGCUGGAGUGCGGGCAGAGGGGGAUGGAAUUCCGCGUGUAGCAGUGAAAUGCGUAGAUAUGCGGAGGAACACCGAUGGCGAAGGCAAUCCCCUGGGCCUGCACUGACGCUCAUGCACGAAAGCGUGGGGAGCAAACAGG
rnacentral:rRNA from 1 species